GCUGUGGCUCAGAGGAAGAGCUGCUGGUUUACAUGCAGAAGGUCUCUGGUUCAAUCCUGGGCAUCUCCA
rnacentral:tRNA from 1 species